GGCUUACUCAAUCCCCACUAUUCAUAGAAAAAGGAGAAACGAACUCAACCGCACAUAGCCGUUUCUCACAUCGUCUGAUUUAUGCUUCUUCUUUGUCUACUUUCAUCGUCUUUAAUUUCCUAUUCAUUUUGCUCAGUUUUUGUUCAAUUUCGAUAAGGUAUUACAGCUCAGAGCCGAUUUGCAGAUUUUAAAAAUGGUGGACGCUGGGCAAAAAACGCUUGGACAGUUCGGAGCCGAUGUGCGUAUUUUGAAGAUGGUGUAUGCUAGGCCAAAAAGGCUUGGACGGGUAAUUCAAUUUCAAUGGCAAGACCUUUUCUUUUUUUUGAGAAUAUGGUCAGUCAGGCGAUGAAUAUGAGGAUUAUGAGGACAAUGAGAAUGGCGAAGAAUAUCAAGAGGAAGAGGAAAAUUUGGAAGAGUUUCACCCCCACUACAUUUGCACCUUACAGUUUCCAGUUGGAUUGAAAUCCUCCAUCUUCUUCCAUAUGCUCACCAGUCUCCUCCAACGGAAUAUUCAAAAGGAUAAACAUGGGAUGAAACUGUAAAGCAAUAGGCAAUUUUGCGAGAAAGAACACAAACUGUAGAGCAUAAUGGGUUCCUUUGUUUCUUUGCAAAUGAAUGGAGAACUUUAAGGCAUUUCUCAUGUGGAUUUUUCUUAUAGAAAAGGAACAAGAUAAAGCUUUUUGAUUGUUUGGAUCGACAAGGAACAAUAAGCAUUUUUGCAAGCCAUUUGAACUCCAUCUAAAUAAGAAUUCAAGACUGUGUUGUCUUGCUUAAUCAGGUUUUUGUUUUGGGUUUUAUAUAUCUUAAUUUCAAACAAUUCUAUAUGGCUUCAUUUGUAUGCUUUUACUUCAAGUUUGGGUGAGAAGUUGGACGUCUUCUUCAUUUGAAAAAUAAAUAAAUAAAUUUCCUCUUUUCCAUGGUGAUCAAUGCAAAGAGAAUGAACCACUGGAGAUCUGCUAUGCCAAAGAGAAAACAAGUAUGGAAGAUGGAGAUUAGUUCUUGACUGCUCUCAUUGUGGAGGACAGAAGUAUAAACAUUAAACACAAAGGUUUUUUAAUUAUAUGUGGAUUGAGGAGAAAAAUAUAAGAGU